rnacentral:lncRNA from 1 species
AUUCUGUCAAAAAGCAUAGAGAGCAAAACCACAACAACCUGUGUCCUAGGAUUAUAAUUGUGACAUAAUAUACGCCAAGAACCUGAGGCUUGUCCAAUCAGCAUUGUCUUUCAGGGAAAAUAAAUCUUAUGUAUUCUAGGUUAGUCUCAUGAAUUAUGAAAAAGUUAAGACUUGAGUUAAACUUUGAAGGAUGGGCAUAGAGUGAGGGAUUAUAUGAGCAAAACUAUGGCAGAGGUGGAAAUCAGGGGACUCUUGUUGGGAUUGAUUGGAGACAUCUCAACAGGAUAUAAGAUAUGAAAACUGGACACAAGAUCUUAAGGAUUUUUUCCCUUCUGAAAGUGAAAGUCACUCAGUCGUGUCCUACUCUUUGCGACCCAGUGGACUAUACAGUCUGUGGAAUUCUCUCGGGCAGAAUACUGGAGUGAGUAGCCUUUCCCUUCUCCAGGAGGUCUUCCCAACCCAGAGGUCAAACCCAGGUCUCCCACACUGCAGGCGGAUUCUUUACCAGCGGAGCCACAAGGAAAGUCCAAGAAUACUGGAAUGGGUAGUCUAUCCAUUCUCCAGGGGAUCUUCCCAACCCAGGAAUCAAACCAAGGUCUCCUGCAUUGCAGAUGGAUUCUUUACCAACUGAGC